CAGAUUGCUCCUUCUUUCAUCCCUAUUGUCGCAUUAAUCUCUCCUUAUCUACUGGCUGCUUCCCUAUGCCUACAAACACAAAGAUGUCUCCUUCAUCCUCAAAAACACUCAACUAUCCAUCAAUAUAUCUUUCUCUUCCCUUUCGUAACUAAAUUCAAAGCCAGCUACAAUAGGUGCUUCUACUUUUCUUUCACUCUCUUAACUCUGCAGGACAGCGGAACUCCGAAGCGGCGACCUCCGCGGGUCGGAGGCCCGGCUAUCACAGAGGCUCGAACCCGUGCCGGUGUCCCCCAGGAUCCGGGCUGCGCCGGGUCCGAAAGCGGGAGCGGGAGCCGCCAGCCACCGCGGCACGUAGCAGGGAGGAGGGAGGGGCCACAAGGACCGGACUCUCCCUUCAGUGCCGGGCCUCAACCGGCGCCGCCGCCAUCUUGUCUUUCGCUCCGUGUCGCCGCCGCCGCUGCUGCGGCCGCACUCCACUCCAGGUUUCCCGGAUGUGGGCAUUUCCCAGCGUCGCUUGCGCGCGGGGUGAGGUGGGGGUUGGGGGAAGAGAGGAGAGGAGAGGAGAAGAGAGGGGAGGGUGAAGAAAAGGGCGGGGGUAAGAACUUGGGGCUUUUCCUCGGUUCUUCUCCGUGCGCGCUGACCAACUCCUCGGAAGGCAGGAGAGAGGUUCAGCCCGCCCUUGACCUUCGGCUUCCUGGUUGACCACGAAGCAGGAAAAAGAUCCUGCUCUCUCUUUUCCACUUUAAUGUUAAACCCAUGGUUUUCUCUUCGAAUCUUUGACUGUCUCGCUCGAAUCCUCAGCACAGACGCCGAAGUAGAGAGAUUUAGCAGUAGGAAAGCCGAACCUAGCCUCAAGAUCGUCGCUUCGGAGGCCGUCUGGUUAAGGCAUUUUAAAAAUGAGGAAACUGAGCCCCUAGUAGGUAGUGAGUUGCCACAGGUUGUAAGGGACAGAGCUGGGGAUUUCAAGGCAAACUCAGGGGUUCGUUCCCCUGCAUCACAAUCAGUGCCUCUGAAAUGGCACUUGUUAGUUUUGAUCGAAAAGUUGAAUUUCGAAUUUUAAAAAACUGAUAAAAAUCCUGUGAACUCUUGGAGGAAGUAUGGAUCACACUGAUAGAUUUCGAAGUUCUUUAAAUACUAACCAUAAUUCAGCAAGAGAAUCAAUGAAGGUGAUAGAAAACAGUUGCAGAAAGAGAAAGAAUUGAAAAAACAUCUACAUCAUACCACGGAAGAAGAGGGAUAUUAUCAAGAUAACGAAUGUGGGAAAACUUAGAUGGAAUGGAAUGUUUUUUGUAUAUGAAACGUCAAAGAAGUGCUAUAAAUGUGUAGCAAGUGGUAGCAGGUUCAUUCCUUCCAGAAGUCCCCAUAUUGUACUUAUCCCCCUCCAUCCCUGGUAGCAAGAGAAAAGAACAGGAGGGAAUAUUCAUAAAGAGUGUGUGCAUCUAAGGUUGAGAGAGAAACAAACACUUGGGGGUACAGGAAUUUUGUUUAGUAAAAUGUUCUAAAUUACUGAUUGGAGAAGUGCAAAUGCAAACAAUUCUUAAGUAUCAUCUUACACCUAUCAGAUUGGCUAAAAUGAUAAGAGGGCAAAAUGACAAAUGGUGGAGGGAAUGUGGAAAAAUGAGGGCUCUAAUAUACACUUGAUGGAACUUCAAACUGAUCCAAUCAUUUUGGAGAGCAAUUUGGAAUCAUGCCCAGUUAUAAAACUGUAUACCCCUAGCCCCAGCAAUACCAUUGCUAGGUUUGUUUCCCAGGGAAAACAAAAAAGAAAGUAUAUGUUACAAGACAUUUUAUAGCAGCGCUCUUUGUGGUAGCAAAGAGCUGGAAACCAAAAGGAUGUCCAUCAGCUGGAGAAUGGCUGGACAAGUUGUGCUAUGAUCUUGAUGGAUACUACUUUGUUGUAAGAAAAGAUGAAGGGGGUAACUUGAGUGAAACAAGUAGAACCAAUAGAAUAUUACAUAUAGCUACAGAAUUAAUAUUUCAAGAGUAACUUAGUUAUGUCCACCUCCAGAAAAAUGAAGUGAAAAACAACUAGAAAAAAUAAACACACAUACACACACA
ensembl:lncRNA